GCUCUUUGUUCCCGGCUCAUUAGCAGCCUCUGGUACUCUCGCCGAUCUCGCAGCGGUUCACAGUGCACGGAAGAAUGUGUUGGAAAUUGUACUAUUACGUUCAUCCGCAAUUUAACAGUGUUUAUGCCGGAAGGACAGUUCGUGCAGUCGAUGCCGCCGGACCUGACACGAAGGAGCGUUUGCCGAGUAUGUCUCGAAAGGGAUGUCACGAUUUCGUGAGACGGAUGCAAUCUCUGCACCACAUGGGAGCCUGUGGCAAAAUGCAGUCUGAGCAGCCCGACAAGGAAUCUGAUCUGCUUGCUUUGACAAGGUGUGUACAAAACAGUCACUGCCACUUAUGAGUUCUAGGUUCUGUUGGUAUAAUUCGUACGUGCCAUCGGUCCUGAAUCUUUUGGUGAGAUUUACGAAUUUGGACUCGUUCUACAAUUUUACUAUUGUUGCAUUGAGUUAUGAGAAUGAAAUUCUAUUGGGAAUAUGUUGUAAGAAUCUUGAAAAAUGGGGUGGUAUGAGAUUGCAAAAUUGCAUCUAAAACAAUAAAUUGUGAUGGCACUUGUGCUGCUUUAUUAGCAAUGCAAAAUCCCUAACGAGUAUACCAGAGGGGCACUUCCUACCAAGCCCGAUUCAGAUCAAAAUUAGCUACUGCAAUUGGCUUCCUCGCGCAGCUUGCACAAAAGAGCCAAUCACAAGUGAGAAAUUCGAUCCGGAUUGGGCUUGAUCGCAAUGAAAAGUGCACUGUAUGACACCCGUAUUAGACGAGCUUAUUGAGAUAAGUUCGUAAAGCCGGCUAAAUCGGCAACAGCAAAAGCACUGAAAAAAGCACACUGGUCUAAAAACAAUGUUGUCAGUUUCUGCUGUUCCAAGUUAAUGGUUAAUAAUGUGUCUCUAUUGAACAAUGUAGGCGCUGAGAGAAAACUUUAAGAAAAUACAUGCUGACUUUCCAACACAGCAUUGUGUCUAGGAUUUUUGCAAAACAUAAAGUUCACAGGCUGGCAGGUUUGGCAUAACGUACAACACUUUUGCUUUAGAUGCCAUAUUCAUAACUUCCAGUUUCGACAUAAUAUUCGAGUACUACUUGAACUGUAUAUUUUAAAAUAUCGCCUACCUUCAGUUUAAUCAAUAUACCUAAGUAGCCUCCUCUGAGUCAAGUAUAAUUGGGGGCUUGAGUAGAUAUGCAUGAUAUGCUACUUACUGACUGUAUAGUGACGUAUUUUUUUAGGAACUGUGUUUUGAGGCACACAUAUCCUUUUAUGUCUUGUUAUGAGUUGCCCGACGAAAGCAGAAGGGCAUUGCAAGUUAUUGCAUAUAUUACUGCACUUAAUUCCUUACAUACAUGCCUGCACAGAUUCUGUGUUCCUAGAUUUAUUUCUCUAAGUAGUCAAAAAUCAUGUAUUACACUUUUUUUCUCUUUUUUUUGGGGGGGGGGGGCUGUUCAUUGAUUCCCAUUCCUAAAGGGACGUUGAAAGAAAAAACCACGAAAGGUGGCUUGAAAGUGUUUGAAUUUUCUGUUUAACCUCUUAUUAUUUAUUCUUCUAAAGCACUACCAGCAUGAACACGUUUCUGUUCACUUUUAUAAGCUAGCUGCCAGAUAAGAAACCACAGUGUGAAAGAGUAUUUAUUUCUUUUUUUUACUUGUUUUAUUGUAUGUUCUUUAUUUAGCUCACAAUGUUCUACCUACCACCUUAUGCAGUACUCCAGCUGGAGCCUAUGAGGUAUGUUUAUAAAUGAAUAAGUAAAUUCCUGAAGCUUGCAACAAACCAUGAAGCAUAACAUUUAAAUGUAGUCAGUUCAUAAUACAUCCCUAGAGCAGCAUAGCAUCAAGCUUGAAGCUGAUCUCUGAUGUCCCAUAAAUUGCAGGUUUGAUAAUGUGGUAUCACAAACUGCUGGUUACGCAUGUCAGUCAGCCUGGUGCAGUGGUCGCAGGUGAGAGUGUAACCGAAAGCUGGGUAUGCUUUGCCCUUCCGCAUUUGACAUGGGAGGGAGCUUGAACUCUGCUAUUGCUUCUCUUAUAGUUGGGACCAUCUCUCUCACCUUCUCCUUAUUAUUCUGUCAACUUGCUAAUAUGCACUUCUACAAGCUUAGUUAUGAUGUUGACUGCUGAACUUGGAUGAUGUGCGUUUCAAUAGUUAGUGGGACCCUCAAAACCAUGCUGUACUUUGUGUGCAUUUCAAAUGGUCAAUUUGAAAUAUGCGAUUGUCUGACAUUCUCAGGGAAACAAGGUUUUUGUUCUGAAUAAGGCAUAGGCUGCUUCCCGAAAGAGUACCAGAAACAAUACUUUCUCACCUAACAAAAGUGUUUAGGCACGCCGUGCUCAGGCCAUGCUGACCUACAAUAAUUAGAUCAUAAUGUGCUAUAUCGACCGUUACAUGUUAUUAAAAGUGGCAGACAAAAGUCAUAAUGCACUUGAAUUUCACUGUUAAAAUGUGUGUGGCUACCUAACAUUUAGCCUUAGCCCCUUUGGCGCAGACACCAUUAGUGCAAAAGGGGCGUAUGUCAUUACCAAGCUUUUGGGAUAAGUACAGACUGAAUAAGCACUUGUCAAGAUUUUGAGUAGUACUAUAACCUGAGACCCGCCCAAAGUGUGAUUUUAUUUUUAUUUUUUCAUUUAGACCAUGGAGUCACACUUCUCUUAAGCCUGUGCAGAUACGUCACGCUAGGCGAGCCCCAUUCAUUUCUCCCUUUACAGUGAAUCCUGUUUUUCAGUUUCAUGUUGCAUGACAUACAAAGGCACUUUAAGCAAGGCCAAAAAUAAGUGGUUUGAAUGUGUACAAAAUGACUCCGGACACAUUUUUUUGUUUGGAGACAGUUUAGACGCAUCAUGUAUUCUUUCUUUUUGUGUUAGUUUUGUGAUGAGAGGUUAUUUAUUGCAAAAAGAAAAUGAAGGUUAAAGUGGCAUUUCCUGCCAAAUUUUGUGGCGAAACAUCGUACGUUGGAGGACAUCAUGCAUUCCAGAGUAUUUUCGUAUAUUUUGGCUGUUGCGGUUCAGUACACUUGCUCCAAAAUUGCUAAGUUCAGUUCUUGCCUCUUUUAGAAUGCAAUAUAGUCAAUUUUUGCCAAAAACAAAUUAACUAGGCCUUAGCAGACAGCCAGCAGGUGUGGGAACUUUAUUGUGGUUUCACCACCUGUAUAUCGUUCUUGUGUAUUUUCUAGCUUAUCAAGCCUCUACUUUUGGAUAACUGCAGUCUUUCUGGGUUUGCGGAAGAGUAAUUCAAUAAUGCAUCUCAAAUAAUUAUUUUUCCCUUAAGUGUCCCUUUAAAGUUUUGUCUGAUUGAUGUGGCAUGAGACAACACUGCCCGAAAGUUAUCUUGCAUGUCAGCAGUUGUGUUGCCAUGUAAUCACCAGUAUUGUCUUUGAGGUGCUCAGAGAUGUCACUGCACUUACUCUUCAUUACCCAAGUCCCUAAGAAGCCAUAAAGAGGAUCUGUUUGAAAUGUCCUGCAAUAAGUUAUAUCAUACUGUAUUCACUGGGGCUCUGUUAAAUGCUUGCAGUAGAAAAGCACUGUCUUCUCCAAAACAUGCAUAGUGUGUUGGGAAUUUGUCAACGAUUCUUUUUACCUCAACAGUCAUGGAAAUAUUGAUUUACCGUGUUCACUGGCAGAUUUAUAUCAAGCCUGAUCUCUGUAGCUGACUAGGCUUUUUUAUUACACAAAAAUUAAGCUGGUUUUCAAUAAUACCACCUUUUCACAGUACUGAAGCACCAGUUUGCAAAAAUAAUAGAAUAAGUUUAACUCUAUUUUUUGUAAAAGCAAGCUGUUGUCUUACACAGCAACUUCAGUGAGUUUUUUAAGCGCGGCAGGCUUAGGAUGUUGGUUGAAAAUUAAGUUGCUUAAAGACGUGUUGCAUCAGAGAGCAUGUUUUCUUUUAUCUAUUGUAGCAUUAUCUGGUCUCUUAUGUUCCUUUCCAUGCUAUUCACAGUGCACACUUUCUAAGGAGAUAAGGGACAGGCAGAUGGUGGCAUUCACAGCUCACACAUUCCAAGGCACUAAGGGACACACAGAGUGUGAAAGAGGACAGUUAUUUUUCACUGUCUGCCUGUCGCUUAUUCUUUUGGCAUGUGUGUGCCAUGAACACCAUCAAAAUGAACUGUUACCAACUUGCCCAAGCUUCAGCUCUUGCGCUUGGUGUUUUUGUCUACAAAAUGCCCAUAUGGCAGUAGUAGUGUUGCUGAUAUUUGCGUGUAUGAAAAGGGGAUGCUUACUUGAUUGCAGAACAAUUUGAUUGGUUCUACACAUGGUACUGAACUUACCAAUGUCAUUUUAAAGGUGGGAUUAGGUAGGAAGCUAUUGUGGUACUGUUUAAAGUGCCCUUGUGCAGAUGCUUAAAGCUUGUCUUCUGUUGACAAAAAUUGGGCUCAAGCCGUAGGAGGAUAGUUGUCAAAGUGUAAUGAAAGCCUCCUGGUAGACAUGCUGAGUUAUGCUGCUGGGGACACUUAUUGGUUAGCCCUAUUGGGUAAUGCUGCUAGGCUUAUGGGUGCUUUAACAUUGCAGUGCCUGCAGAAUGCAUGUCGUGCUAUGGUAUCAUAAUUGGCCCACCAAGUGACCACCUUUGCUUACACUAUGUGGCUGUCUGGCCUACUUUACUUAACCUGACUGCCACCUAUACACAAGGAGGAGGAGGGAGGCAAAAAAGGGAUCUUCAAUUAAUUUUCUUGCAUAGAUGGCUCAUGCAUCAUAUUUUUCUUAUAGUGCAGGAUUUGUUACUCAAAGUGAAGCUUGCUAUAUGGAGAAUAUCUACAUUUUUUCAUAUGUAUACCGAACAAGGAUUGAUUUGUUCACGGUGUCACUUUUUAUAUUAUACUCACGUGACACUAAGCCCACUUGUAUUAAUGCAGGUAUGGCUGGGCCUGCAGAGAAAGUGUAAGCAGACUGUGCUGUGUUGCUGAUCAGUGCUGAUCUCCACGCCUGAGUUGGUCCCACAACAUCCAGGCACCAGCGUGCUUUGCUUCAUCAUUGACAAGGUGCGCGGCAAGCUCUCACUCAAGCAACACAUUCCAGUGGUCUUCUGUCAACAGACUGGGUGUAUUGAAGUACCAUUACAAGGUCCAAUAAACAACGCUUGCGAGAUG